AUGUUUUUUGCAAAAGCAAGUGUGGAGGGAGCAACACAGCUUAAAGAUGUUAUUGAGGUAUACUGUAACGCUUUCGGACAACGGGUAAACCUUCGAAAAAGUUCCAUUCAUUUCAGUAAGGGUUGUCCUAAUUCUGUAAGAGUGGAUAUGAAAGGCAUAAUAGGAGUUCCUAAUGAAGCUUUGUCUGUAAAAUAUUUGGGUAUGCCCACGAACGUAGGGAAAUCCAAAAAUGGGGCUUUCAAGUAUCUUAAGGACAGUUUAUGGGGGAAGGUCAAAGGAUGGAUGGAACAAAUUUUAGCAACAGUAGUGAAGGAGGUACUGAUUAAAUCAGUUGCCGCAUGUUUUAAAUUGAAGAGGUUUGUGCAAUGA
rnacentral:rRNA from 1 species